GGCUGAUGCAUAGAUAGUAAGUUAUCCAAGUUGAUUGUUCGUAAUCAGCUACAGAAUUCACUCUUUGUUUUCCUCUUUUUCCCCUUCUCACUACUGGACUUGAGUAGUCUAAA
rnacentral:Y_RNA from 1 species